rnacentral:rRNA from 1 species
GACGAACGCUGGCGGCGUGCCUAACACAUGCAAGUCAAGGAGAAUUCCCGACUUGUCGGGAUAGUAAACUGGCGAACGGGUGAGUAACACGUAGGUAAUCUGCCCUCGGGAUCGGGAUAACCUCGCGAAAGUGGGGAUAAUACCGAAUAAAGUCUCGGUAUAAUUUGUCGAGAUGAAAGAUGGGGAUCUUCGGACCUAUUACCUGAGGAUGAGCCUGCGCCUGAUUAGCUAGUUGGUAGGUAGCGGCCUACCAAGGCAACGAUCAGUAGCCGGCCUGAGAGGGUGGACGGCCACACUGGGACUGAGAACGGCCCAGACUCCUACGGGAGGCAGCAGUGGGGAAUAUUGCGCAAUGGGGGAAACCCUGACGCAGCGACGCCGCGUGAGCGAAGAAGGCCUUGGGUUGUAAAGCUCUGUUGUAAGGGACGAAAGAUCAAGGGAAUAACUGCCCUUGAAGUGACGGUACCUUACCAGCAAGCCCCGGCUAACUACGUGCCAGCAGCCGCGGUAAGCAUA